rnacentral:sRNA from 1 species
GAUUCCCGACUCUCUCACUGUCACUCUCUUAAACUCUCAGACCUCAGUCCCUCGACUCGACAGUUCCCGUCCUUCGACUCCCUCGACUCCCUCGACUCCAAUCCCCUCACCAACCGUCGAUUCUCCUCGACGAAUACAACGGCACCACCCAUCAUCCUCCUCGACAACAUCCCAGAUAACCCAGGCCAUCACCCUUGCCGUCGAUUCUCUCAUGUUCGACAGCAACCCCCGCCGUCGUGAUCGCCAUCACCCCAUCACCGUCGUCGAGGACACUGGUACCAGCCAUCAUCCCUCUAAAAUUUAGCUUUCUGCUCUUGGAAGGUAUCUAGUUUGAGGUAGCUUUGGGCAAGAUGGCAGGAAAGAAGGGAUAAAAAUGACGGGUCUUCGGAUGACAGACGGUCUAAUGCUGAUGAAUAGGACACACCUCUGGAGAAGUUGGAGUCGGACACACCUUGGUUAGACUGAUAUAAUUCAGUGGCAGAGGCAGAGGCUCUCUCUUUUCUAGCGGAGUUCCAGUGGCAGAGGCUCUCUCUUUUCUUAAACAGGUGGUUUUUAAUAAAAAUGUUGUCACUAAUAAGACUGCAUUAUUGCAAUCUGUGCAAUGUGUUUUGUGCAAACUGCAAUCAGUGUAAACUGGAAUCUGUGCAAUCUGUGCAAUAUGUGCAAUUUUUUUCAAACUGCAAUCUGUGAUUUUUUCCAUACUGGAAUCUGUGCAAACUGUAAACUGGAAUCUGUGCAGUUUUUUCAAACUG